CCUACGGGUGGCAGCAGUGAGGAAUAUUGCGCAAUGGGCGAAAGCCUGACGCAGCGACGCCGCGUGAGGGAUGAAGGUCUUCGGAUCGUUAACCUCUGUCAGCAGGGAAGAACGGUCACUGUGCUAAUCAGCAGUGAAUUGACGGUACCUGCAAAGGAAGCACCGGCUAACUCCGUGCCAGCGGCCUCGGUAAUACGGAGGGUGCGAGCUUUAAUCGGAAUUCCUGGGCGUAAAGCGCUCGUAGGCGGUAUGUGAAGUCAAGGGGGAAAUCCCCGCGCUCAACGUGGGAACUGCCUUUGAAACUGGCAAACUGGAGUGUGUGAGAGGAUAGUGGAAUGCCAGGUGUAGGAGUGAAAUCCGUAGAUAUCUGGCGGAACAUCAGUGGCGAAGGCGACUAUCUGGCACAUAACUGACGCUGAGGAGCGAAAGCGUGGGUAGCAAACAGGAUUAGAUACCCUUGUAGUC
rnacentral:rRNA from 1 species